rnacentral:lncRNA from 1 species
AUACAGGGCUGAAAACAAAGACAUUCAAACCUUGAGCCAUUUAGAAGAGGAAGAAGCCAAAAUCUGUGCCAGAGGUUUGACUACUGGGAUACUCAUGGCUUCAGUCUAUUUACAGGAGUACUGAUGACUACAAUAAGAGCUAUAAAGGAAACAUGAACCUGCCUCGUGUGAUGAUGUGGUGAAAAAUUAGAUGCCUCUGGAGAGCUGGACCUGAACUGCUGUUCCAAGGUUAUGGGGGCUCUAUUUUGCCACUGUCUUCACCAGCCUGUGAGAAAGAAACAGCCUUCAGAGAUCUCUCGUCUCCAUCCAUCCAAACUGUCCUGGAGUCCAGAAUCCUCACAGGAUCCAUACAGGGAAGGGACAGCAGGAAACAAGGCUGGUGGUCAAGCUGGUCAAGAGGAAAACCAAAGCUCGUCCUUAUUGAUGUCCUUCAGAGAGAACAUUUUUGAAAUCACAGCUCUGUGCCAGGCAAUGAAAGAGAGGCAGCUGCUGGCUGGGCAGGAUGAGGCCAGCCCAAGGUCCUGCAGAACAACCCAUGAGAGGUCUGUGGACUGGUGCGCCACGCUGGAUAUGGCCAGGUGCUGAGCAGGCUGAGAAGGCUGAGCAGAGCAUCCUGGCACCAGCACAGAUCAUCCCUUACCAGCUUGUGUAGUCAAAACUACCUUCCAGGAAUGAAUCAGGAUACAACUAUCCAACCAGCUGCUCUGGGUGAGACCCAAGAGAUGUUUCACUCA